rnacentral:rRNA from 1 species
GGAGGAAAAGAAACCAACAGGGAUUGCCUUAGUAGCGGCGAGUGAAGCGGCAAAAGCUCAAAUUUGAAAUCUGGCACUUUCAGUGUCCGAGUUGUAAUUUGAAGAAGGUAUCUUUGGGUCUGGCUCUUGUCUAUGUUUCUUGGAACAGAACGUCACAGAGGGUGAGAAUCCCGUGCGAUGAGAUGUCCCAGACCUAUGUAAAGUUCCUUCGAAGAGUCGAGUUGUUUGGGAAUGCAGCUCUAAGUGGGUGGUAAAUUCCAUCUAAAGCUAAAUAUUGGCGAGAGACCGAUAGCGAACAAGUACAGUGAUGGAAAGAUGAAAAGAACUUUGAAAAGAGAGUGAAAAAGUACGUGAAAUUGUUGAAAGGGAAGGGCUUGAGAUCAGACUUGGUAUUUUGUAUGUUACUCUCUCGGGGGUGGCCUCUACAGUUUACCGGGCCAGCAUCAGUUUGGGCGGUAGGACAAUUGCAAAGAAAUGUGGCACUGCCUCGGUAGUGUGUUAUAGUCUUUGUCGAUACUGCCAGCCUAGACUGAGGACUGCGGCUUCGGCCUAGGAUGUUGGCAUAAUGAUCUUAAGUCGCCCGUCU